CUGAAGAAAACGUGAUGUGUAAAACCU
rnacentral:piRNA from 1 species